AACUAUCUUGAUAACAGGGAAAUUAUUAUAAUGGUAAUAGUACUAUAGAGUAGUGUAAUAUAUAAUGAAGGUCGUAAAUGGUUUAGUGGUUUUCUCAUGGCCACAUUAUGUUAAGCGGUGGAAUAAACUUCAAACAACAGAAAAAUUUAAUAUACGUAUAUUUUCUCAUGCAAAUAUUGUUUUACUAUUGCAUCACUUCAAAAAUAGCAAAAGCAAGAGUUUGCUUCGUUCACAAUUGUCAAAUCAUACUUUUUAUUGCUUUCCGCCGCUGUCUUCAACCAUCAAAUAUUAUUCAUAAUAUUCGUACCGAGGUAGAGAACCAGAAAAUUGAAACAACGGGACUAGAACCGCGAACUUCCUCGAGCCUCAGAAUUACAUCUAAGUUUUAAUUGACUAAUUUACACUAGACUGAAGUAUAUAAGAAAAUAAUAACUAAUAAUUUUUUAAUUGAUAAUAGCGAUAAAUGAUGAUAAAAAAAAAGAAGUGCGUGUACAUCGUGAUAUGAACAAGUAUCUACCUGGUGAGAUUUCCAACGAUUUCUACAUACCUCCCGCUUCCCACGUGAUGAAAUUACCGCAAGUAAAAAAAAAAGAGAGACUUGGUGCACAGAGAAGAGGAAAAACGGCUGAAUAAAAGUCUUUGGGUCUAGAGUUUUUUAGCUUAGGAUAAAAAUAAGUAGAUGAGGAUGUAUAACCACCGUGUAAUUCCAUAAUGGAGAAAAUCAGCUUGACAUUUAGUGAAAGAAAGCCAAUAUUGCGAAGAAAGCCGCACCCUAGCAUGUUUAUCACGCCAAAGAUACAUCCUCGGCAUCAUCGACAGUGGCCAAUACCCAUGAGGAACACGCCCCAGGCGACGAUGAACCUCUUUCGAAACUUUCUAAACUACCGAAUAAACCGAUGACUCCCGCGAGUCCUCUUAUAAAUAAUACUCUUUAUUUUUUAACCUUUAAACGAUCCAGCGUUCUUGUCCCAUUAAUUUUCCGAGGUAUUUGAAAAUUGUCACUUAUAUCUGUCCGCUAAAUUUAAUAUUUAAGUUAUAACUUGUGACACAAUUUAGAUGGAUUAUCUAACACGAUUGCGUGUAAGACCUUGAAUAAAUUAAAAAAAUUGAAACAAUGAGGAGUUGGUACCUCUGUUCAAUUAUAGGUUCAGAAGGCUUGAAAUAUUUAAUUACUAAUUACCGGUUAUUAGCUGAAGAAAUUGUAAAAAUACUAUAAAAUACGUGAGAGUUGUAUCAAGUAACUACCGAUGAGUAGGAAACGGCAGAUGAGAUGAAUCAAGUCCUGGUUACAACUCUUGCAGGUUUCCGUCAACGAGGAGGAAAAAAAAGUUUAAGUAGUUAGUUGGGUGUACGUGCAAAAGCAAAAGCGAUGAGAGCUAUGGAGUAACAAGUUAAGAGUUAAAAGAUGAGAGUAAAAGAUGACUUUAUAUAUCAAUUUGUUGGAUGAAAAGAGACAAACCGGGAGAUCAGAGAUACUUUCACUUAGAGUUAAGACGACGAAGAGUAUGUCGAGGAUGUUACACGCGCUCGUGAACUUGCCGGUUCUGGACCCGGAUCGUCUCUCAUCCCAUACCAAUGAGCGCCUCAUUUCGAUACGAUACGGCCAAUGACUUAUAAAUUAUACAUCUAUAAAACAUCAAAGGUCGUACAAAUUUUCUCGUGUACCGGAAAUCAAUAGUUUUUGAUAUUUUUUAUAUUUAUUCUCAAUUAUCUGUCGCUUAAUUUUAGUCAUUUUUAUCCUCAAAAAAUAAUUACGAGGUAUUGAAUUAAAAAACUAAAAU